CCGCCCGUCACACCAUGGGAGUUGGCUUUACCUGAAGACGGUGCGCUAACCAGCAAUGGAGGCAGCCAGCCACGGUAGGGUCAGCGACUGGGGUG
rnacentral:rRNA from 1 species